UACGUAGGGGGCAAGCGUUGUCCGGAAUCAUUGGGCGUAAAGCGCGUGUAGGCGGCUCGAUAAGUCCGUUCUGAAAGUCCAGGGCUCAACCCUGGGAUGCGGAUGGAUACUGUCGAGCUCGAGUCCGGAAGAGGCGAGUGGAAUUCCUGGUGUAGCGGUGAAAUGCGCGGAUAUCAGGAGGAACACCAAUGGCGAAGGCAGCUCGCUGGGACGUGACUGACGCUGAGACGCGAAAGCGUGGGUAGCAAACAGG
rnacentral:rRNA from 1 species